rnacentral:rRNA from 1 species
AUUGAACGCUGGCGGCAUGCCUUACACAUGCAAGUCGAACGGUAACGGGCCUUCGGGUGCCGACGAGUGGCGAACGGGUGAGUAAUACAUCGGAACGUGCCCGAUCGUGGGGGAUAACGAGGCGAAAGCUUUGCUAAUACCGCAUACGAUCUACGGAUGAAAGCAGGGGACCGCAAGGCCUUGCGCGGACGGAGCGGCCGAUGGCAGAUUAGGUAGUUGGUGGGAUAAAAGCUUACCAAGCCGACGAUCUGUAGCUGGUCUGAGAGGAUGAUCAGCCACACUGGGACUGAGACACGGCCCAGACUCCUACGGGAGGCAGCAGUGGGGAAUUUUGGGCAUUGGGCGCAAGCCUGAUCCAGCCAUGCCGCGUGCAGGAUGAAGGCCUUCGGGUUGUAAACUGCUUUUGUACGGAACGAAAAGCCUUCUUUUAAUACAGGAGGGUCAUGACGGUACCGUAAGAAUAAGCACCGGCUAACUACGUG